CCCCUCCGUCGCAAUGCGACUGCGGCAGCAGCGGGCGUUACGGGCGCGGGGUCGGGUCCUGUCAGGGCUGGGCCGUCACCCGGGGGGGCAGAAAGCCCAGAGGAGGGCAGGGCUGGUCCUCGAGCAAAGGCGAGGCAGCCCAGAACCGUCAACGCUUGAGACCCGUUGUUAUUUGAAAAAAUCUGCCCCACGUAGCCUAAAACUGGGAUUAUUAGUAAGCAAAUAUGCAUGAGGCUGUGUGUGCUCCAGAAGCACGGCCCAGCUUGCUGUAAUUGCUUCCAGAAGCCAUCUCAACUACAUCACGGUUUCCAGAACGUGACACUGUGCCAAAAGGAGGGCGAAGAAAACGCUGUCGCUUUGGGCUCAGAAACUGCAGUGCUUUGGCAUCCCUUCACCCCAGCCCACAGAGCAGCACAGGACACAGCCGUGUCACCGGGAUGCACUGUGUGGUACUUGAGGAGCUCAGCCACACCUGUACCGGAGCAUUUGCUGCCUCACGGGGCUCUCUUCAGGCUCAUUUAAGAUUAAGCGAUGGAAUCCGCCCUCCAACUCCAUAACUGCACCACAGCAAGGCUGGAACAGCAGCUGAUCUCUGAGGAAGCGACGCCAGCAGUCAUUCUGAUGGAAGCCUCGUGAGGAAGCAGGCACGAACAGAACACAGCGCAUUGCCUUUACCGCUGCUGGAGUGCCCCGCAGCUGCUGCCGCCGGAGCUGUGGUACAGCCAGCAGCUGCUGCCUGCACGCACCAUUUGUACACUCUCCAUGUAAAUGAGUACUUACCGCCAAAACAAGGCAGGAAUGCCACCAUCUCCAUCCCCACCGGCAGAUGUUAACUUCACAGUAGCCUUCAAAUGCCAACGCCCACCUCAGGGUCCCACUGCAGCUUUUCUCCCCUUGCAGCAGGCCCACAGAGGUGCCAUUUCCCCAUUUAUCACCUCCCAUAUAUUACUUGAGCUACGGAAAGCAGACUGUUUCCUAUGUACCUCAACGUAGAUCACACUGCAGCAUGAUGCGUUCUUCCUUAGCACACAGAAAAUCCAGUGCCUAAGCUAACUCCAAAGCUCCCUUAAAAGGAACAGUUCAGUUCUGUGCCCAUUGAGCAGACAGCAAUUUUACACGUUACGCCUUUUGGCCACUCAUCACACCUCACCUAUUCAAACUAACGCAAUGAAUACCUCCCAGACUUCUUCCCUAUGCUAUUUGUAAAAGGUGGAUAGCAAAAUUGCUCUGAUCAGUGAUGCAUUUCAGCAUAACAAUAAUUUCAUAUGCAGUGUCUUUUUCAGCAACAUUUGGUAGUGAAGCUUUAUGGGCAUACUCCUGAAUACCUUCUCCUCUAAAGACAGCACAUAUAUUUCACGUGGCAAUUGGAUGCUGUUUUAAGAAAGCAGAUGAAUGGGAGCAUCGUUUUAAGUAUUUCUUCUAGUACAAUUCUUUAAUUCCUAUAGGGGAAUGGCUGCUAAUAAUAGGAAACGAUUGUUUUAAUUAUUUGCAGUGUAAGAGACUUUUGAAGCACUGAAGUUUGCUCAGACAGCAUGGCCAGACAUACUUGGCACCAGAUUUAUGGUUACGGUGGAGUACGUGCAGUGAACCACACUCAGUCCCCAGGCAGGCACCAAUGCCUACAUAGAAGCUUCAUUACAAAGACUUAGAAGAUAUUUUCUCACUUUUCUCUUAUAGUGCAAAAAAAGAAGGAAAAAAAGAAAGAAAAGAAAAAAGAAAAAACCCCAAGGAGGGGUAGGAAGCAUUUUUCUAACUGCAAUAAUGAAGUUACUGUGCCUUCAGAACCACAUUAUCUGCAAUUAACACAGCCUUCUUUAACAUGCCACAUGGAAGCACAGAACCUGUUCUCAGUGUAACAGACCAGAGCUGAUUUGUUUUAUAUUAGUUUAAGUUAUUUUGUUCUUCCCCUCCGUUUUUCAACACCACGAACAGUUUGGCAUACAAGGAAAUUAUGAAUACGCAUUUUCCUUUUUUAAAACUUUAUUAAAUUACGCAGUAAAGAACCCAUCUCCACACAAGUGUUUCAUUUCUGGAUGGCAGAGGUAUAAUACAUGAGCCACAGGUGAGUGCAUUACCCCUCCCUUCCCCCCAGCUUCCAAGAAAUAAAACAGCAUGUAUAACACACUCUUGUUACUAUGGUACUCCAAACAGAUUGUUCGAAAGGUUAUUUUUAACUGGAGAAAAAGUAAAAAGGACCAACAGCAUCAAGUGUCUUGUUCUGCAUAUGAACGUUCUUCACUGCAGCAUUCAAACGCCUUCCUUCUUGCAAUACACGGCACAGCAGAGGGUUCAGGAGGCAACGACAGUGGAAUGCAUUUGCACGGGUAUUGUUAAAUAGAAAGCCUGUGACUUCCCUACAGUUACUCAGGCAGUCAGACUGCAAAGAAGGCAGUGUGUCUUCUGAAAAUCCUUACACUUCCAAGUGCAUGUCCAC